CUCCACCCCUUCCCCCCCAGAUGUUCUUCCUUGUUGGGAUCACCCGCUUCAGUGGGGGAGAAGAUUCUACAUUACCCUUCUUUGACCCUUCAUCCAGCUCAAGAAAACAAUGGGAUCAACCGCCCUGCUUCUGGUGAAGCUAUUUGCUCCUAAUGCUGAGCAGAUGUACAUUGUUAAUCACUUGAAAGAGAGCCCAGCAGGAGAGAAGAGAAAUGUGCUGGAGGAAAGUGCCAGGAGAGCCCAUGAGGACAUAGAAGAUUUGGCAGACCUGAACCCCAGCAAGCUUGAAGCUGUCAUUAUGCCGGUGGUGUUGGGGUGGCCCAGAGCCACCCCAUGAGCAGUUCGGUAAAGGACUCUUCUGUUGCAUUUCACACAUCCUGGCAGCUGACACCUUCAUGCUGUGAAGUCACAGUGGGUCAGGAAACUCAUGUGGAUGCAGGGGGAGGAAAGGGUGAAAAGCUUACUGCCUGGUUCUGUCUCGGCCCAGGAAGAACCGGAAGCUACGAAUUCUACCUCUGGAAGGUUCACAUUCCCACCAGGGGAGGAGUGAGGAAGCGCAGCUGGCCCCGAAUAGCCAUGGUGAUGGAUCUGUAGGAGAUGGUGGGCCCGACGAGAAUCAUAGUCUGACGUCUAGGAACCGGAUACUGUGAUUUGCCCCACCUAAAGGAACACGGUGAAGUGAUCAGCUUUGAACGACCCUGGAUGUGUUUCAAAGGCUGUGUGCCCUUUCACUUUUUUAACUGAUAAUGCUCUUCUUAUUGCCAGCAGCCGAGGCUAAAGAGAUUUAAGUGAACAUGUGGGACUUCUGCUUACCGGCAACUGACUCAGGGUACACACGUGUUUUGCCUCUUGUUGGUCCACUGUACCAUGGGCGCUGCAGGGAAACACCACAGUUGCCACUUGAGUUGGUACUCUUGCUGCCCUGUCCUCUUCAGGCCUGGUUCUUCAUCACUUCCAGGCUUAGGCUCCUGGGUUGGGCACAGAGAGGAAGUCACCAUCUUUGGAUUUUCAGGACAUCCGGAGUUUCCUUAGACUCCCUUUAUGCCGCCUUACCUCUGCCCACUGCUACCUAGACUCUUCCUCCCAGGUGUUGCCAGUGGCUGAACUAGUUCGGAAUAAAACUAAGCUAUUUUAUUAAUUGUUCACCUGAGUUGCAAAGUCUAGGAUGACAAGCCCUGAAACUGAAACUUCCAAACUGUCUAGAUUUUGGCUAAAUCCUUGAACCAGAGAGCAAAUUUAUCUUGGAAAUGACUGACUUCUGGGAAGAAGAGGGAACAGCAGAUGAAAUGCCAUUUACCUUGCCCAUUUUAGACACUACUGAUACUACUAGAGAGGUCAUCCAAGAGACAGAGUAAUAAAACUCUCAAGGUAAGCACAUUUAGCAAGGAACUGUUGGGAUUACAGAAGCGGGGUAGAGACAGGAACAGGAAGGUGGCAGUAGAAACUGAUGUUUAUGAUGUGCCCAUUAUGUGCCAGACACUGUAAAAUGCAGUGCUUUCUAUCGUAUUUAAUCUCACAAGAGUCCGGCAUUUUUGCUCUAUUUUAAGAUAAAGAGCUGAAGUUCAUGAUAUUUAAAUAAUUUUGCCCCAAAUCUUACAUUUUAAAUAACAAAGCCAGGAGAAGCGUACAGGUUCAUCCAACUCCAAAGUGUAUGAUUUUCUCAUAUACUUGAGGAAAAGAAACUUAUUUUCUAAACAUAAAUCAUAAUGGGCAAUAUCAGUUUAAAGUUUAGCAGAGUUUGAGGCCAUUUCCUUACUGUGAAAUAUCAUGCAUAUUUCCGCAGUAACUGGAAAGCAAAUUAGGGAAACGUCCCUCCCCUCACUUAAUUAUAUCAAACAAAUGAUCUUACAAUUACAUAAGAAGUCGCCCAUUACAGUCUAGCCAGUGGCUUGGCUUCUUGUCCAAACCUCACAGUGAAAAAUGCAGACUUUCUGGAACCACAUAUUAAAAUCUCUGCGGUUGAAUCAGCCCUUCUUCCUUCUGCAAAACCUAACCUCAAUACUAUUCAGCAUAUAGAGAACUCCGGGGAUGAGAUCCUUAAAGCCCCGUGUCAAAAGGUGAACACCUGAUAAUCAUCAUCUUGGUUUCAUGCUCGUGAAAACUGGUUUUGUCCUAAUUUAUUCUCAGACACGUGGGUCUGUCCUGCAGUGAGGUGCCUAGUUUUAUAGGCUUGUAAAGAGAUUGACCCCACAUUUGGCAUACGUAUACAGUAACGCAAUGAUGUUCUUGUCUAAACUGGCUCUGAAGAAAAUUCCUAACAGAUAUGCCAAAAAUGGUGAGCGAUUCUGACAUUUCCCAAAUAAGCAUAUAGUCUCCAAGAUGAUUAUUUUGAAUGACAAUCCUCAUGUGGGGCGUGAAAUUGAGUAGAUUUGACAGGGCUGCUGAAAAGCUGGAAGAGCACUGAAUGUCGAGUCACAAAGCCUCUGUUGGCAUCCCUGCCCUGCAUCCAGCUCCCUGAGAGGCACCGUUUGCAUUCUGUUGCUGCGUGAGGGGCAGGGGAAGUCAUCUAACCUUUCUGAGCUUCCUUCCGCAUUUGGGACACUGUUGAAUGACACUUGCCGACACUGUGGUAAUAAUCAAGUGAAGCUGACAGUACGAAAGCCCUCAAAACAGUGGGGCACUGGAAUAGAAUGUGGUAACUCACUCAUCGUUAACCUCCUGGUGAAGUCCCACAGUCUGAAACCAAGGCCUUCAAGUUCUUAGGAAACACCAGUGGUGUUAAUAAUUAGCCUUGGUGAGAAAUCCCAGAGUCACCCGUGUGUGUGAGGUCCAGUUACUUCUGUGCUCGGUUUGAUAUGUAAAGCCACCGGUAGAAUCCAUUUGUUCAAUUUCACAAGCCCCAGAAGACCAGUGGAUACUGCUUGCUCUGGAAUGCGAGAGCCUGGAUCUCAGCACUUUUCACCAACUCACUUUAUCCUUGUCUAGAGUAAUGAGAUCAGAGUAAACAUACUAAGAAGCUGAUGCCUAGCAAACCUUUAUGGUAUUUUCAAAGGCCACGAAUGAAAUCUUAUUUAUCACGUGUGGGACCGGGUUGGGCGAAGAGUAGGGCAAUAGUGGGUCUAUUCUGUCUGCGGGGUCAAACAUGUCCUUGGAGAUGCCUCCUGGAGGCAAGACUGUGCUAUCCACAGAAGGCAGAAGUGAGAGCCAAGGAUUUCACUCUUUCCUAAUCCUAGUUCUUUCACAGCAACUAUUUGGAGUUUUCAGUCACCAGUCCAGGAGCUCACAAGCACAGGGACACUAGAGCACCAUUUCUGCCCGUGGCAGGGAUAAACAGCUGCAUUAUGUUGGUCAAGUUACCUAACCUCCCUUUGCCUUGGGUACCUCAUCAGUAAAGUGGGGAAAAUAAUAGAACCGAUUUCCUUCAUAUAUGUAGAGCUUUUGUAGAAGUGAGAAGCUAGAAAAGACAGCAUUUAAAAGCAUCAAUUCUGGGGCGCCUGGGUGGCUCAGUUGGUUAAGCAUGUGCCUUCGGCUCAGGUCAUGGUGCUGGAGUCCCGGAAUCAAGUCCUGCUUUGGGGCUCCCUGCUCAGCAGGG